GAUGAACGCUGGCGGCGUGCCUAAUACAUGCAAGUCGAGCGAACGGACGAGAAGCUUGCUUCUCUGAUGUUAGCGGCGGACGGGUGAGUAACACGUGGAUAACCUACCUAUAAGACUGGGAUAACUUCGGGAAACCGGAGCUAAUACCGGAUGAUAUUUUGAACCGCAUGGUUCAAAAGUGAAAGACGGUCUUGCUGUCACUUAUAGAUGGAUCCGCGCUGCAUUAGCUAGUUGGUAAGGUAACGGCUUACCAAGGCAACGAUGCAUAGCCGACCUGAGAGGGUGAUCGGCCACACUGGAACUGAGACACGGUCCAGACUCCUACGGGAGGCAGCAGUAGGGAAUCUUCCGCAAUGGGCGAAAGCCUGACAGAGCAACGCCGCGUGAGUGAUGAAGGUCUUCGGAUCGUAAAACUCUGUUAUUAGGGAAGAACAUAUGUGUAAGUAACUGUGAACAUCUGGACGGUACCUAAUCAGAAAGCCACGGCUAACUACGU
rnacentral:rRNA from 1 species